GGUGAAGAACGUAGCGAAAUGCGAUACGUAAUGUGAAUUGCAGAAUUCAGUGAAUCAUCGAGUCUUUGAACGCACAUUGCGCCCCCUGGUAUUCCGGGGGGCAUGCCUGUCCGAGCGUCAUUGCUGCCCUCAAGCCCGGCUUGUGUGUUGGGUCUCGUCCCCCUUCCCGGGGGGACGGGCCCGAAAGGCAGCGGCGGCACCGCGUCCGGUCCUCGAGCGUAUGGGGCUUUGUCACCCGCUCCGUAGGCCCGGCCGGCGCUUGCCGAUCAACCAAAACUUUUUUCCAGGUUGACCUCGGAUCAGGUAGGGAUACCCGCUGAACUUAAGCAUAUCAAUAAGCGGAGGA
rnacentral:misc_RNA from 1 species